rnacentral:rRNA from 1 species
CCACCUACCUCUCCCACACUCUAGAAAAGUAGUUUCAAAUGCAGUUCUGUAGUUAAGCUACAGGAUUUCACAUCUGACCUACUUUCCCGCCUACGCACUCUUUACGCCCAGUGAUUCCGAGUAACGCUUGCACCCUCCGUAUUACCGCGGCUGCUGGCACGGAGUUAGCCGGUGCUUAUUCGUUAGAUACCGUCAUAAUCUUCUCUAACAAAAGGAGUUUACAAUCCUAAAACCUUCAUCCUCCACGCGGCGUUGCUGCUUCAGGCUUUCGCCCAUUGAGCAAUAUUCCCUACUGCUGCCUCCCGUAGGAGUCUGGACCGUGUUUCAGUUCCAGUGUGUCCGAUCACCCUCUCAGGCCGGAUACCCGUCAUAGCCUUGGUGAGCCUUUACAC